AGGCGAUACAGACAACACAUUUCACCAGCUUUAGUGGGAAGUCUCACGGAGAAGUUCUCAAAAUGCUGCGUCUCUUGUUGAUCUUUGCUCUGUGCUUCACUGUUGCCUUGUCACGCUUUUACAUUCGACCAUACUUUCCCUUCCCGCGCCCAUUCCGUUUCCCUUACUUUUUCAACAACAAUGAUGGUCCCUUCAACGACAAUGGUUUCUUCGGUUUUAACGACAAUGGUUUCUUCGGUUUUAACGACAAUGGAUUUUUCAAUGAUUAACAACUAGUUUGGAAACAAUGACGAAGAAAAGUAAUGAAAACUGAAGAAUUAUUGGAAAGGCUUAAUAUGAAUUUACAAAACUCUAGUUAUAUCUUGGUGAAUGGAAGUGCGUUUUCUUUACUCUAAGAUAUAAUUGCAAUAAAGGGUCAAGAAUGUAA